CAUGGCUGCAGUCACCAUCUGCAGUGAUUUUGGAGCCCCAAAUAUAAAGUCUGUCACUGUUUCCACUGUUUCCCCAUCUAGCUUUCCCAAGCCUAGCUUCCUUGCCUAAUGAUCACUGGUGCAGCUGCUCCAUGUACCAGUGACCCCCAUAGUCUGAGGAUGAAGCGGCAGUGUCUGUCUUCCCAUCAAACUCACACAUGCUGUAAUUCAAGAAAUACUCAACAAAUGAAAAAUAGAUCGAUACUUUUACACUUGGAUUGAGUCACAGAGAGCCCCUCUGACUUUGCCCUCAGAAAAGUCAGAGGGCAAAGGCCCUUUUGUCCACCAGCAACCACAGACCAGGGCUGCAGGCCUGGGAGCUUUCACUCUUCAGCCCAGAAUAGGACUGAGUUGUUCCAGAGGAAAAUCAAGUUUUUACGGAAGUCUGCAAAACGUUAACGUUAUGUUCACCUCUUUCAUUACUAAGUGCAGUGUUCUCAAAAAUGUCAUGAUAUUUUAUCACAAUUAGAGGCUGUCUCUCUCUGCAGGACUGCCUAAGAUUCUACCAUCAAGGUCAAGAAAUCAAAGGCAGUUGUGAAUGAAAUGUAUCACAUGGAGCCGAAUCAUCCCAGAGGCAAAAUUACAAAAUAAUUUCAAAGAAGUUCCCAGCAUAAUAUUAUAAAUAAUAUGGGUGCAUUUUUUUAGUAUAUAAAAUAUAGUGAGCUAUCUCUAAAUAUUAAUAGAAGAGGAUCAGGGCUUAUGAAUGACCCUGAACUAAAGAUGAUCUUGUUUAGGACAGUUAUUUCUGGAGAAGAGACAAAAAAAAAAGCAAGCUAUGUGGAUGUGGGUUGUUAAUCCUCAAUCUUUGAUAACUCACAGGCACUUCUGAAGACCCCAGACACAAGAUGCUCCCAUCCCUGCCUUCCCAGUCCCAUUGCCAGGGAUACAGGACAGGCUCAGGUCCACGCCCAGGCCACUAUCCCACACCUGAGUCCCUUCACCGUGUCUUUUCCUAAGCACCAGCCAGAGUCAGGCAGGUUGAUGAGCGCUGGGGAAAGAACUCAGGAGCAUAGUCACUGCUCUUGGAGAUUCAUUGAUGAUAUUAAUGAGGCAGGGACAGAUGUGUGUGACAAGUUAGUUGUGACAAGGGGUUCUCAGCCAUUCUGAAUCCCAGCACAGCCCAAUUCCCUUGGCCAACCUCUCCUGCAGUCCUAACUUUCAGAAGAGCCAUCUGGGGACUGUUACUGAUGGUAUUGAAUUCGCUGGGUUCUUGAGUCAUGCUUGAACAUGCUUCUCCAACUAAUCACAAACCGUCCCUUUAUCUGCCCUGUGCCUACAACACACACACACCCCACCGACGUCCCUGAACCACCCAUGUCUGCAAAUGUAGGCAGAAAUAACAAAGCAAAAAAAACAGUUGCAUGUUGAUCAGAACUCACUGACAGAUGCCCAGCAGCCCGCUGGUUGAGAAACUUCGUGUUGCUCAAUGGAACAAAAGUCCAAAGCAACAAGGCGAUGGCCAGGUCACCGGCCCAGAGCAGGCUGGGUGGUCAGGGCAGCAGGAGGGUAUGCGUGCGGGUCUCAGUCACUGGCAGGAAUUGCACGGUCCCUUGCGGGGUGAUGAACAAGGAUGUGGAGAAGUGAGGAUGCAGAGAGCAGGCAGGUGGGCCAGUCUGGACGUGGAUGGCCUUUGACACCCCGCGGAGUGGUCCAGGCUUUGUCCAGUCCCGGAGAAUCUCCAGAGAGUGUUUUAGGGAGGAGAUGACGAUGCUCUGAUGUAUCAGGCGUUUUUUCCAAAGGGCAGAGAUGGCAUUUCUGGUUGGUCCUGAAUGUCUGCCUUGGCCCAGCGGACAGGGCAGUUAACCAUCCAACCAAAUGACACGUGUGCCUACACAGGCUCAUCCCAAAGGACACAGUAAUUGUCUAGCUGCCAGCUGCUCAGAUGCCCUGGCCUUGAAGCUGCCAGUCAGUGAAAGAGGGAGGUCGGGAGGGCGGCAGAGUCCGGUGGAGUCCGUGGGUCAGGCCGCCUGGCGCCCGGCCAGUUCCCACAGCCGCUGGGAAUCCAGCGAGGCGGCUGGGACUACAAGGGCGCUGCAUAAUCAGAAGACACUUGGGGGCCAUGAAGUCCAGUCCCUCGUUGCUGGGUUUUUUUUAAUGGACUCCAGCCGGCGCCCGAGCGAGCGGGCAGCCGCCGGCGAGGCCAUGGCCAACACCGCCGUGCAGCUCCUGGGUUUCCUGCUUUGCUUCCUGGGCCUGGUGGGCACGCUCAUCACCACCGUCCUGCCGCACUGGCGCCGCACGGCGCACGUGGGCACCAACAUCCUGACGGCCGUGUCCUACCUGAAGGGGCUGUGGAUGGAGUGCGUGUGGCACAGCACAGGCAUCUACCAGUGCCAGAUCUACCGCUCGCUGCUGGCGCUGCCCCGCGACCUGCAGGCGGCGCGCGCGCUCAUGGUGGUGUCCUGCCUGCUGUCGGGCGCCGCGUGCGCCAGCGCCGUGGUGGGCAUGCAGUGCACGCGCUGCGCCAAGGGCACCCCGGCCAAGACGGCGUGCGCUGCGGUGGGCGGCGCGCUCUUCCUGCUGGCCGGCCUGCUCUGCCUGGUGGCCGUCUCCUGGACCACCCACGACGUGGUGCAGAACUUCUACAACCCGCUGCUGCCCAGCGGCAUGAAGUUCGAGAUUGGGCAGGCCCUCUACCUCGGCUUCAUCGCCUCGGCCCUGUCGCUCAUCGGCGGCACGCUGCUCUGCCUGGCCUGCCAGGAGGAGGCGCCCACCCGGGCCCCGCCCCGGGCCACCGCGGCCCCCGCCGGCGCCCCCGCGCCCGCCUACCGGCCCCCCGACGCCUACAAAGACAAUCGGGCCCCCUCGGCCGUCUCGGCCUCGCACAGCGGGUAUAGGCUGAACGACUAUGUGUGAGUGCCCCCCCUGGGGGUCGGGGUGGCCUGUCCUCCACCCGUACCUCACCCCCCAUCGUCCGGAGCACCCUCUGCACCCCCCGAGAGGCUGCGAGGACCUAGCCUGCCCACUGAUGGAUUCAAGGCCCGCCUGCAGCAGGUUUCCUUGUGGACUGCGUUAGCAUCCAAAGACAUCAGGCUGGACGACUAUGUGUGAGUCUGGUUGGGGGUGGGCCUGUCUCCACCCCACUAUCCCACCCCCCAUUGCAAGGAGCCCCCCACCCCGAGAGGCUGCGAGGACCUAGCCUGCCCACUGAUGGAUUCAAGGCCCUCCAGCACCAGGCUUACUUCUGGGCUGCUCUGGUGUCCAAAGGCAUCAUGUGAACCUGAGGAAAGGGGCUUAUAACCACAGGGAAAGGGGAAAAUAAGAAGAGGAGAAAAGCUCUCCAUACCAAAGGCUUAAAAGUAAUCCUUGCUGGUUUUGUAUUUAUUCUAUGUAUUUAUGUGGUGGUUUAUGACAGCUGAAUAAAAAAGCGACUUGGGA